rnacentral:rRNA from 1 species
GUUUGAUCCUGGCUCAGAGUGAACGCUGGCGGCAGGCCUAACACAUGCAAGUCGAACGGCAGCACAGCAGUAGCAAUACUGUGGGUGGCGAGUGGCGGACGGGUGAGGAAUACAUCGGAAUCUGCCUUGUCGUGGGGGAUAACGUAGGGAAACUUACGCUAAUACCGCAUACGACCUACGGGUGAAAGCGGGGGAUCGCAAGACCUCGCGCGACAAGAUGAGCCGAUGUCCGAUUAGCUAGUUGGCGGGGUAAUGGCCCACCAAGGCGACGAUCGGUAGCUGGUCUGAGAGGAUGAUCAGCCACACUGGAACUGAGACACGGUCCAGACUCUACGGGAGGCAGCAGUGGGGAAUAUUGGACAAUGGGCGCAAGCCUGAUCCAGCCAUGCCGCGUGGGUGAAGAA